CUGGGUGGUGGUGCUGUCCCUCUGCAUUCCCGCAUGGACAUGAAACCUGGAGCAAUUAGCAUUUCCUCCUACUGUAGCUUUUAAAGUAUUUUUGCUUUGCUACUGUCUAGUUCAUUAAAAAGGGUUUUCAAGCUCCCAGUAACAGAAUUACUAUUGACAAUUUCAUUAGAACCAUAAUUCCAGCAGUUUCCACAAGAUCCAGUGUGGUCCAUGGUCACAGCCUGUCCAUCUCCUGUAUAUUUACAGCUCCUCGGAUUCAUCCCCCUCAAAUUCUGAAGGGCCAAACCCACCAGUUUUUGUGAACUGUCUUUUAGCCCUGAGUUCCACCAGCCUCAAAAGUUCUUGGAGAAUUACGGAGCUGUUAGCUGCCGUCUGACUGUUCCCAUGGCUGAAAGAUGCUUCAUGUACAGGCAGCUGUUGAGAACAGAGGAAGGAAUAGAUGAUGGCACCAAAUCCUGCCCUGGAGCUGAGCAGGGCUCGAAGAGCAGCCCCGUGUGGAGAAGCAGAUGGAGCUCUGCAAAGUGUCAGGUAACCUUGCUCUCUCUUGUGGAAAGCCUGAGGAGCUCCAGGAGGGAUUUAAGGAAGAGAUCUUCCUCUCCUGUUCAGGUGAAUAGUCAUGAAUUAGACUCUUGGGAGACUAAAGCAGUAUAAAUACAUAAGGAAAUCUUU
rnacentral:lncRNA from 13 species